GGGAUUGCCCUAGUAACGGCGAGUGAAGCGGCAACAGCUCAAAUUUGAAAUCUGGCCCUUGGGUCCGAAUUGUAAUUUGUAGAGGAUGCUUUUGGUGCGGUGCCUUCCGAGUUCCCUGGAACGGGACGCCAGAGAGGGUGAGAGCCCCGUACGGUUGGACACCUACCCUAUAUAUAGCUCCUUCGACGAGUCGAGUAGUUUGGGAAUGCUGCUCUAAAUGGGAGGUAAAUUUCUUCUAAAGCUAAAUACCGGCCAGAGACCGAUAGCGCACAAGUAGAGUGAUCGAAAGAUGAAAAGCACUUUGAAAAGAGGGUUAAAUAGCACGUGAAAUUGUUGAAAGGGAAGCGUUUGUGACCAGACUUUUUCCUAGUGGAUCAUCCGGUGUUCUCACCGGUGCACUUCACUGGGUUUAGGCCAGCAUCGGUUUCCGGAGGGGGACAAAAGCCUGGGGAAUGUGGCUCCUUCGGGAGUGUUAUAGCCCCUAGUAUAAUACCUCUCCUGGGGACCGAGGACCGCGCUUCGGCAAGGAUGCUGGCGUAAUGGUUAUCAACGACCCGUCUUGAAACACGGACCAAGGAGUCGAACAUUUGUGCGAGUGUUUGGGUAUCAAACCCUCACGCGUAAUGAAAGUGAACGGAGGUGAGAGCCCUUCGGGGUGCAUCAUCGACCGAUCCUGAUGUCUUCGGAUGGAUUUGAGUAAGAGCAUAACUGUUCGGACCCGAAAGAUGGUGAACUAUGCGUGGAUAGGGUGAAGCCAGAGGAAACUCUGGUGGAGGCUCGCAGCGGUUCUGACGUGCAAAUCGAUCGUCAAAUCUGCGCAUGGGGGCGAAAGACUAUCGAACAUUAUACUUCGGC
rnacentral:rRNA from 1 species